CUAGCCUUCAUUGGUGUUUUCGCUGGUGGCCAGCCUUCAUUGGUGUUUUCGCUGGUGGCCAGCCUUCAUUGGUGUUUUCACUGGUGGCCAGCCUUCAUUGGGUUUUUGCUGGUGGCCAGCCUUCGUUGGGUUUUUGCUGGUGGCCAGCCUUCGUUGUGUUUUUGCUGGUGGCCAGCCUUCGUUGUGUUUUUGCUGGUGGCCAGCCUUCGUUGUGUUUUUGCUGGUGGCCAGGCUUCGUUGUGUUUUCGCUGGUGGCCAGCCUUCGUUGUGUUUUCGUGGUGUUUUCUCUGGUGGCCAGCCUUCAUUGGGUUUUUGCUGGUGGCCAGCCUUCAUUGGGUUUUUGCUGGUGGCCAGCCUUCGUUGUGUUUUUGCUGGUGGCCAGCCUUCGUUGUGUUUUUGCUGGUGGCCAGCCUUCGUUGUGUUUUUGCUGGUGGCCAGCCUUCGUUGUGUUUUUGCUGGUGGCCAGCCUUCGUUGUGUUUUUGCUGGUGGCCAGCCUUUGUUGUGUUUUCGCUGGUGGCCAGCCUUUGUUGUGUUUUCGUGGUGUUUUCGCUGGUGGCCAGCCUUUGUUGUGUUUUGGUGGUGUUUUCGCAGGUUGCCAGUCUUUGUUGUGUUUUCGCUGGUGGCCAGCCUUUGUUGUGUUUUCGCUGGUGGCCAGCCUUUGUUGUGUUUUCGCUGGUGGCCAGCCUUUGUUGUGUUUUCGCUGGUGUCCAGCCUUUGUGUUUUCGCUGGUGGCCAGCCUUUGUUGUGUUUUCGCUGGUGGCCAUCCUUUGUUGUGUUUUCGCUCGUGGCCAGCCUUUGUGUUUUCGCUGGUGGCCAGCCUUCGCUGUGUUUUGGAAACAUAAACUAGUCACCAGCAUACCAAUAUAUGCUGGUUACCUGCAAAACCAGUAUCAAGUCACAUUAUGCAGGCCUUCAAAGUGAUGUCUGAUUCCUAUUGGAAUCCACCCUGACUGGGGAUAUCUGAAUAUUAUAACUUUUAUUCACCCACAAUCUGCAUUCACAAUGACUGCCAGGGUUAAAAAGAUUAAUAAAUUAGACUACAUAAAACAUCCAAAUUGGAACAACC
rnacentral:lncRNA from 1 species